rnacentral:sRNA from 1 species
UCUGGGAUACUAGAUAUGCAAGAAACGUUUGACAUCUGAGUAACUGCUGUAUUUCUUUAAAUGCAUGUGUUAUAGGUACCUGUCUAUUGCACUAAGACUGGUGUAAAACAUUUGCACCACAAGGCUCAAGAGUUUGACAUUGGAGUUUAUUUUGAAGCAAAUGGGCAUGGCACUGCACUGUUUAGUACAGCUGUUGAAAUGAAGAUAAAACAAUCAGCAGAACAA